UUCAAUUCUGCUGAAAGAAAAUAGGAGACUUCAGAAUUUUAAAUGACAAGAUGAUGAGCAACUGAUUACUUGUUAAAGGACGCUGAAUGUGUGGGACAGAAGGAUGCACCAGGGAAGCAAGCAGAUCCAGAGCUCAAGCAAGACACAGUGAUAGUAGAAACAGUAAAGAAAACAAGGAAAGGUGACCUGCGCCACAUGGUGACACGAGGACAUUGGAUAAUAUUACACAAGUGCUACACCUCAGCUGCUCCCACUGACAUCUAUUGGAUCAUCGGACACAUAAAAUUACUCUGACACUUGUGUUUGCCAGCAGAGGAGCCCAUUAAAUACAUGACUGGUAUAAAUGAACCUCUUUGCUUGGGUGGGGAAGACAAUGACAGGGAAGAUGACCCUUAUUAAAGUUUUCUAGUAGGAUUCCUAGGCAUGGGCAGGCUCCUAGCUAUAGCAAUGCUGUCUGAACAGUGGUUCAGAGGGUUGGUGACAAAUUCGAAACCUCUGGAAUCACUGGGAUUUGGAUACGCAGAGAACCAAGGUCUCUGUCCAAGAAGGGUCAUAUGUCAUGUGUCUUGUUCUUGUCUUUUCUGCUUUUUGUGCCAACUUAAAAAAAAAAAGUCAGAAAACAAAGACGAUAUAUAGAAGAUAUAUGGAAUUCCAGUGAAUUGUAUUUUGGUGUAAGAUCGGUGUAUGCUGUUGAAAAUUAAAUCUCUGAAGGCUUUGGCUGUUUCAAACUCUGUUGAAGUCAUUGGGAUCUGAAGAUGCUCACAACUUUACAACCCUUUUAACAAACAACACCAUAAUAAUAAUUUUCAAAGGACUACCCACCAAAUACUGUAAGUAACAGUAGCAAAACCUUUUCAUUUUGUACAAACACCAGUGCUUCUGGGAGACCAUUCCAUUCUCCAAAUGUAUAUAUGUUUGCGCAAAGGGUUCCCAGAAACAAGUAACAAGAAUAUUGAGACCAUUGCUCACUAACCACGGUUUUUAUUUUGCAAUAGUUAUUGAGAUCUUCCGGGGGUUUUCCUGGGCUCAAAACUUGGCUGUUUUUAGUAGCAAUAUUUUCAGUUGUGUCAUAUGAAUUGUUUCAUUUUAUUAGAGCUGAAUGCUGUUAUCUGCCAUUUUGGAAUUGCUAGCUAUAUAUCUUGGAGCAAUGUAUUUGUAUGCUGUACAAAUAGCAAAAACCUAUAGCAAAAUGCUGUGUAAUUUGAAUGUUAGCUGUACCCUCUGUGAGUCUCUCGGGUUUGUAUCACUAUCCAGGGAAUGUAUCUGAGCACCUUUGUUAUUUAGCCUGAUUGAUUGAACAUUAUGCAUCCAGAUGCAUUAUUUUCAAAACUUAUUCUUGAAUGUUUAGCUGGAAAUUCUCUCUCAAGAGAUAUAUUUUUUUCAUAUAGACAGUUGCCACUUAAGCCAGUUUUGUGGAAAUGACACAUGGAGAUUUUAAGAUGACCUUCAUGUGUUUUACCGAAACCUAGCCUACAUAGUGUUUUGAGACACGAGUAUGAUCAGAUGCUUUUUCUUGUACAGGUAAAGUAUAUAUGCUUUUUUCCAACAGGUUUGCAUAGCCUUCCAGAAAGAACUACUCUUCUUAAGCAGCAGCAGGCACUGUGAUGCUGGAAAACCACUGUAGUCCAUAUACUGAACCCCAGAACAUCAUGGGACAACACAGCAAGAGGGAAAAGAAGAAAUGACCAAAGAAGUACCAUUGUUGCAGCGAUUCCCAGGGCAGCACAUUCCAUCUCUGUGGCAACGCUUCUUCUUCCUCCGGCAUAUCACGCAUGCAGAUGUUGCUUGAUGAGGACUGUGACAGUACCGCCCAACUUCACAUUCCUUAUCGUUGGUGCAAGGAUAGGCCUGGUGGGUAAAAAGAAAAGUGAAGCAGUGUACAAGCAGAUCAGAAUUGAUGGGACAGUUGCAUGCAACACGUGGCCUGUACAGCUAGAUGAAUACAUUGCACAAUGGAUUUGUCCCAGUCACCUCUUUGGAGAGGGAACGAAGAUCCUCUCUGUGCAAGGCAAUGAAAAGACCUAAUGGGAUCUCACAGGACACAAACCUUUGUAACAAUGGAAAUAGAUCUUCGCUCAGAACCACAUAAAUUGGAUAAAACAAAAUUGAAAAGAAAAAAAAGCACAAAACAAAAAAACCCUCCUCCUAUAGCUUUUUUCCUGCAAGGCGACUGAACUGCUUUCUGAUAGCUUCUCAAAUGUAUUCAGACAAAUCCAUGUCUAAGAUAUACUUCGCCUCGCUUUCUCCUAGCUGUGAAGCAAGCAUGUAAAUUAAGAUGUGGAUGGGAAACGACCGUCAUUUACUACUAUUUUGUUUUUAAUCCCAAAUGAGAAAAAAGCUUAUCAGCAGCCAUCUGGAGCAGUGCAGUUUUCCCACAGCACUGCUGAUGUUGCUGUUUUCUAUUCUUAGCUCAACACAAGCAUAGAUGAUAGCGAGGGACCUCACUGUGCACAAGCAGAAAGCCACGGUUAAUUUAUCCCAUGGAGGAAAUCACGCUGUGCUCUCAGACAGCUCCAGACAUGGAUCCUGUCUCAGACUGAUCUCAUCAGAAACUCUCAACUCUCAGUGACUGCUGUGGCACAGACCAUUCCUGAAAGCAAAACUCACAGUAGUUGCAGUGAAACAGAUUUACUCCAUUCAGUUGCCAUGACAAGCUUAAUGAUUCAUUUUUUUUUCCCCAAGCCUCUUUCUUGUUCAAACAUCUCUGACCCACUUCUCUGCCAGACCCAGAGAGAAAAGCACCAUCUUCUGCCUCUAGAUUAAGCACAGACACUUUCUUCUAGCAAUAACUUAUUUUUAACUCUUCAACUUAAAACAAUAGUGCUGUUUAUGAGGUCUGAUUCAGUUUGACAUAGUGCUACAUCACGGAUGUGUACAUUGCAGCCUCCGAAGAUCAUUCCUUCAAACUGUGUGGCUAAUGGCCCCAGAAGCCUGCAUUAUUAAGACAAUAAAUAUUCGUGUUUGAAAGUAAUACUCAAUCCACUGCUAGACCACCAGGGGAAGAACAGUUCUAAAACAUGCAGUAGUCCAGCUCUCAUAAUUUGCUAGAGCCAAAGAAAACUGAGAUCUUAACAACCAAAAAACAAACUUCACUGAGGGCUCUCUGAACCGGCAAGGCUGCAGGACUCAUGCAGGUCCUGACUCAGGCUUUCCUCAUCCCAACAAAAUGUCAUGGAAAACAACCUCCUGCUCGGCAAGCAACAGGGACUUGCACGGGGAGAUGUGCUUAGGGAGGAAGGGUGUAGCUGCAGUACCUGGGGAAAGAAGAGUCAAACACCUUAAAAUAAAUAUGGGAGCUGUGUUGCCCUAUUGUGCACACAGCUCUCCAGCACAAACGGUACCUCUUCCAGUGUGGCCAGAAGACCUCCAAAGACCUUUUAUCUAAUGAAGUCUCAAUCGUACUGUGAUCUGAUGCAAUCUCCCAGCCACAUGGUGGUCAACUAGCAUUUUUGGUCUACAGCACAACCUCUUAUUCAACAGCUCACAAUUCAACACCUGUUCUUACGGGUGUUCUACAGGUCUUCUACCUCUGUUUUGUGUCCUGCUGGGAAGAGGUAAUUGGGGUGUCUCUUUAAAGCUGGCCUUGCCUUCAGAAGGACAUACAGAGAAGCUAAACUAGAAGACUGUAGUGCUGAACUGAAUUACUCUAGAGUCACAGAGGUGCAAAGUUAAAGUGGCUCAUUUGAAUGCCUGGGUAAAUACUGCUAUUUGAAUUGUAUUGGCCUUAAUUUAGUGUGUUCUACAUGAGCUGUGAAAGUAUAAACUCAUAGGUUUAAGACACUUAAACUAAUACACCUUAAAGUU